CCAAACAUAUGUAAAAGUCUCUACUGAUUGGUCUAAGUCAGGCAGUGACCUUUCCAUAUAUAGAUAAGGUCAUGUAUAUGCCAUUUUGGAAAGAUGUUUUAAUCAGGUUUGUUAGAAACAUUGCAAACUUGAAGAAGAAAACAAUGUGUCAAUUCUUUUAAUAUAAAGGAUUAUCUCAACAUUCAACUUUUUGAGAAAAGUCAUAAACGGAAACGGAAGUACAGUCCAUAAAAUAAACAAACGUGUUUGUAAACAUGGACGGAUCCAAACGGAAGGGGAAGAAGCAUUUCAUAGAAAUAUUUUGAUGGCAAAAUACAGUAUAUAUCCGUAGCCCUGACCAACCUAUAAACCGGGCCAGUCUAUUUUGUAGUAAGUGCAAAAACACGGCUGACCCAUUAAACGAGCUGUAGUUACUCAAGUUUAACAAUUGGAAUAUCAUUAUAUUCCAAAUCUUAUUUACAAACAGUUACGAGAAAUGAUAUUAUCUGGUUUCCCAAUGAAUAAGUUGCGUGUUUAAGUGCAGAAAAUCAGUGAAUUUGAAAUAAAGGAUACUGGUAUCGGAAUUCUUGCACAAAUAUAUAAAGGAGAAUUAUUAUAUAUACACAUCAAUGCAGUGUCAUUCACAAGUGUCUGAUCAGACAGCAGGAAUAAAGCAAAUACUGGGACGAUCGCAAUAAUCUUCACGUAUAGUGUGCGAACAACAUACAACUGUGCGGUCCAUUUAAAAACAAGCGGCAAACUCGUCGAAAAUUGGAAAAGUUUUCGCAUAUAUUGAUCAAGGCAAGACACAAGCAACGACUAGAACGAGGAGUCCAAAACUCUGACUGAAAGUGUUUUUGUAAAGUUGGUUAAUGUACACGACAGGCUCUGCAGAUUAGUUCGUGUGAGUGCAUUGGAGACUAGAAGAGAAACACAGAGGCUAAACUUGUCCUUCAUCGUCCCUGUAGAAAGUGUCUGUGCGGAAUACACGAGGUUCUUCUGGGACACCAGAAGAACUCUUUGGCGAGGAGGAAAACCACGGGUUCCACUUCGAGCAUUGUUUUAGGCAUGGACGAGCACCUGGGUAGAACCAUAGACCUUCUGAAUACAUGUCUGUGCGGAAGGAUUAAAGAAGUACUCCGGACAAGAAGGCCUUGAUAGAUGUGUAUAAAAAUGAUGACAGUAAUUGUGUAAACAUUGAAGUAUAGCUAAAAAGUUCAUUGUUGAUGACAGUUGUUUUCUAGUCUUGAUUGACUUGAAUAGUGUUAAACUUUAGAAAUACACAGAGCUGUCAUUGCUGUAAGUUUGUUUCAUGACCAAAAAUGCUUGUUCUACUAUACAGCAAAGAAGGGCCGACACCAUUGCAUGUCUACCAGACUUUUGUAGAAUCAUACUGUAAUCAGUUACAGUCACUCUUUUGCGAAGUUUAUGUUUGAUAUUUACAUUUUGUCGAACACCACGAGAACGAGCUUUGCGUCUUUUUAGUACAGAGAGAGAACAUAUCAAUUCCUGAAUCUUUUGAAAUAAUUUCCUCUUGAUAGAUGUUAUCAUUUAAACCUAAGGGAAAGGGUGUUUGAAGAAAUUUAAUAAAUUCUAAGUUCAAGAGGUUUACUUCGUAUAUAAAAAAGUAGUUUGUUUAGUGUAACAGACUCUACCUAGCUUAACCCCCUACCUCAGUUUUUUUCCAGUUCUAUAGCAAAAUAUUCAAAAGUUGGCCGAAAAGGGAUAAAUUCCAAUGGACACUUUACUCAUUACAAAAUCUUAUUUUUAGCUCGCCUGCAGCUGAGCACGAAGUGCUUAAGGUGAGCUAUUGUGACCGGUCACUGUCCGGCGUCCGUCGGCGUCCUUCGUGCGUUGUCCGUCAACAUUUGCCUCGUGAACACUCUAGAGGCCACAGUUGUGACCCAAUCGUUAUGAAACUUGUUCAGAAUGUUUUUUCUUGAUGAUCUCUCGGUCAAGUUCGAAAUUGGGUCAUAUGGGGUCAAAAACUAGGUCAGCAGGCCAGAUCAAAGGAAAAGUUUAUGAACAUUCUCGAGGUCACAGUUGUGACUCAGUCUUGAUGAAACUUAGUCAGAAUGUUUGUCUUGAUGAUCUCUAUGUCAAGUUUGAAUCUGGGUCAUGUGGGGUCACCCGGUCAAAUCAAUGGAAAAGCUUGUGAACACUCUAGAGGCAACAGUUGUAACUCAAUCUUCAUGAAACUUAACCAGAAUGUUUGUCUUGAUGAUCUCUAGGUCAAGUUCGAAACAGGGUCAUAUGGGGUCAAAAACUAGGUCACAAGGCCAGAUCAAAGGAAAAUCUUGUUACCAUUCUAGAGACCACAAUUUAAGUUUGAAACUCGUGAGAAUUGGUCAGAAUAUUUGUCUUGAUGACUUCUAGGUCAAAUUCGAAUCUGGAUCAUGUGGAGUCAAAAACUAGGUCACCCGGUCAAAUCAAGGGAAGCUUCUGAACACUCUCGAGGCCACAGUUGUGACUCAAUCUUUAUGAAACUUGAUCAGAAUGUUUGUUUUGAUUAUAUCAAGGUCAAGUUUGAAACUGGAUCAUGUUAGGUCAGAAUGUCUGACUUGAUGACCUCUAGAUCAUGUUUGAAUCUGGGUCAUUUGGGUCAAAAACUAGGUCAUCCGGUCAAAUCAAAGGAAAAGCUUGACAACACUCUAGAGGCCAUGUUUAUGACCCUAUCUUAUUGAUACUUGGUGAAAAUGUUUAUCUUUCCGAAUCUGAGUCAUCUAGGGUCAAAAACUAGGUCACCUGUUAAAAUCAAAGAAAAGCCUUGUGUAUGCAAUAGGGGUUGCAUUUUUCAUUUGAUGUGCAUGAACCCUUGCCAGAAUGUUUGUCUGCAUAAAAUCUCGAAAGAAGUUUUAUCUGGGUCAUGUGGGGGUCAAAAACUAGGUCACUAGGCCAGAUCAAAGGAAAAUCUUGUUACCAUUCUAAAAACCACAAUUUAAGUUUGAAACUCAUAAGAAUCGGUCAGAAUAUUUGUCUUGAUGACCUCUAGGUCAAAGUCGAAUCUGGGUCAAAUGGGGUCAAAAACUAGGUCACCCGGUCAAAUCAAAGGAAAAGCUUCUAUACACUCUAGAGGCCACUCUUUGCUCCAAUCUUCCCGAAUCUUUGUUAGAAUGUUUGUUUUCAUAAAAUCUUGGACAAUGGCUUAUCUCGGCCAUGUUGGGUCACAAACUAGGUCACUAGGCCAGAUCAAAGAAAAUGCUUGUUUACACUCAAGAGGCCACAUUUUGGUCCAAUCUUAAUGAAAGUUGGUCAGAAUAUUUGUCUCCAUGAAAUCACUAGGUCGAACAUGUUUACACUGUUAUGGUGUGUUACUCAGGUGAGCGACAUAGGGCCAUCUUGGCCCUCUUGUAUGUAUAUAUUAGCUGUUACACCAAGAUUCUACUUUCUGACCUACUGAGAAACAUUCUUGCUGUCCUAUCCUCUCCCCUACUUCCCCCUACCCUCCCUAAAAAGUAGACCUACCUAUCCUAUCUGCAAUACUGGAGAGGUUGCCCUAAAGGAAUAAUAUAUUUUUAGGCCUGUUUUGUUGGGGAUUUUCGGUGGAAAAUAGAUUAACACUAACCUCGUGUUUAAGACGGACUGGAUACAGGAAAUGUCCGAAAGCACAGAUCCAGUUCGCAAACUUGAAGUUUAGACUACUGUAUUAGUGCCAAGAUAUAACUAUAAAAUGAAAAGAUGAGUUAGAUCGCCAAAAUGUAGUAAUAGCGGAAGCAAGAUUUUGGCUAAGAAAUGACCUUUCUUUCAAAUUGAAGUUUGGUUAUAUUAUGAACAUUUGAAUAAAAGUUUUUUUCUGAA